rnacentral:misc_RNA from 1 species
AACGCACAUUGCGCCCCCUGGCAUUCCGGGGGGCAUGCCUGUCCGAGCGUCAUUGCUAACCCUCAAGCUCGGCUUGUGUGUUGGGCCUCGUCCCCCUCGGGGACGGGCCUGAAAGGCAGCGGCGGCGUCGCGUCCGGUCCUCGAGCGUAUGGGGCUCUGUCACCCGCUCAGGAGGCCGGCCGGGGCUCGCCAUCAACCCACAUCAUAACAAGGUUGACCUCGGAUCAGGUAGGGAUACCCGCUGAACUUAA